CCGCGCACGGCACCCCGGGCUCAGAAAGGCAGGCAGGCCUCCGGCCCGGGGCGAAGACAGGCCGGCGGGCCGCAGAUUGGCCUUGGUGAAGGGGGCGUCUGACGGCCGUUACGUGGCCAGCGAGCAGCUUUUGCGUACACAAUGCGCCGUCUCAUUCUGCUGUGCCCAUGUGGGGACCAGCUAGCUAGCUAAGGUACGGUAAACACUGACGUAACAUACUAGGGGCAUCAUUAAUAAAUACACUCUGUUUACAGAUAGUUACAGGUAAGUAAACUAAAAAACUGUAAAGAAAACUCAAGUUAUCAUACUACUUCUGGAAGAAAAAGAUUAACCUAGCGGUUGAGGGUCUCUCUUUAGGUAAUUAAUUUUAUAACAAACAUAUAUACAUUUUAAAUGUAAUUUGUUUCUCAGGGCAGUUUGAGAGUAAUACGAUCCUUUGUCUGUGCGCUUUUACUGCUUCAGAAAGCCGAGACGAGGGAAUCGAAGUCAGACAAAAUGAAGCAGCCCCUUCUUACUACUACUAUAAUAAUGUUGCUUGUUUGCAGCUGCUAGGAUCUGCGUUGCUGGGCUGUGCGCCGCGCAUUAAGCCCUGCACUCUGUGCGUUAAGCCCUGCGCUCUGUGUGAGCCGCUGCAUUCUGCCCCAGAGGCUGUGUGGUUUAGCUCAUCGCCCGUCGCAUUUCUUAUUGCAGGUUGUUUUCCUUUGACAAAUUCGAAAGGGUUUGUAAAGUGCAGGGUUGGUACAAAGGUGAGAUGCAGGCCACACCGUUUCAGUAUGAUAUAUAUUUAUCUUGAAACAAUGUGUAACCCAAGGGCAAAAAGCACACUUUGCAUGGAGUGAAAAACAUAUAAACAAUGUAUUUAUGCAGUCAAAGAAAAACUGUGCAAAAACAGCUGAUUACUGCACUUGCAUAUUUAAGUAAAAAUGCAGUAUUGAUUAAUCAAUAACAGGAUAUGAAAAAUCCCUAACCUCUAAAUGUUUAAAAGCAGCGAGAAAGAAAUUCAUAUAACUCUUAAUUUUGAAAAAGGAAACUUUUUUUUCUCUGAAAAUAUAUGUAUAUAUUUCAGUUAAAAUAGUGAAACAGUACUUCUGUUUUCCACAAUGGCCCAAGAAAAAUAACUGCAAUUACAGGGUGCAUUUAUCACACUAAAAUGCGUUUCUGACUACAGCCGUCAUCACAAGUUACUAACAGUUUGAUUGAUGCUGUAGUUAUCUUCUGUGUGUGUGUGUGUGUGUGUGUGUGUGGAGAGAGUACAGGGGUGUGACACAGGUACAUAUCUGAGUACAGAAUGUCUCUGGCUUUUCGCACUCAGAGGUUUGUUGAAGACAUUUUCUGUAGAAAAGCACCAGCACUUUAGCAAGAGCGAAAACGCCUGUUGAUCAGAGUCUGUGCAUAAGCAGAGCAGCAAAGCGGCAUGUGAAGGCACAAAGGCUUCUGUCCAGCGUGAAUCCAACAGCAAGAGCCGUGUCUGUGAAGCGAGCGUGCGAGUGAGCGCACCAGGGGCCGGACAUGAGCGUGCGAGUGAGCGCACCAGGGGCCGGACGCCGGGCAUGAGCGUGCGAGUGAGCGCACCAGGGGCCGGAUGCGGGCAUGAGCGUGCGAGUGAGCGCACCAGGGGCCGGAUGCCGGGCAUGAGCGUGCGAGUGAGCGCACCAGGGGCCGGACGCCCGGGCAUGAGCGUGCGAGUGAGCGCACCAGGGGCCGGACGCCGGGCAUGAGCGUGGUCGAUUCACUUAAAUAAGACUCGUCUCCUCUGUGGUUGCAUAAAUUCAGCAACAGGUUUUAUGCAUUAGGCAGAAAAGUGAUUAAAUGAAUAUGAAAGAUGGGGGGGGGGGGUCCUGCUAGAGUAGAUGAGAUGGCCUGCGGUACCCUUGAAGAUGGCAUUCAAGCGGAGUGAUUCAUCUCGCUGAAGAAGGACUAUCUCAGCUGCUUCAUUAGAAUCCGCCAGGUGAGCCCGAAACAGGAGCCAUUGUCUGCAUCUUCCGAUUCUGAGGCUCCAAAGAACCUUGAUGUUUCCAUUGCAGUUUUCCUUUGGUGCCAAUGGUCUGGAUCGCCAUGGUCUUCCCUGGACUCCCUGGUCUGCCCUGGACUCCCUGGUCUGCCCUGGACUCCCUGGUCUGCCCUGGACUCCCUGGUCUGCCCUGGACCUCCCAGGCCCCGAUGGCCUCUGACUUAGCGGAAAACGCUCCUGCGGGCGUUAAGAUCGAAAGCUCUGGGUAGAGAGUCCGAGAAAGUGCCGCAGACGGGCGGCUGUUACGGAUGCCAGGAUCCGGUGGACUUUUGGUGAGACGGGCUUUCGGUGAGACGGGCUUUCGGUGACACGGCUGUUAGCAUGGGGUUUAGCGCGGUGAUGAAUGUUUCCCUCGCCCGGCCUCCCGCACACACUCCCAUUCUGGAUCAGUGAAUUUUAAUUGAAAACAUGCCAGCAACACAAUGGAUUAAAUUGAAUAAAUAGUACUUAUCCAUAACAAGGAGCAUAAUUAAAAAUGCAAAUUGUCAAAUAAUACUAUUAACCUCCACGGAACAUUUGGGGCUCUUGACAGCUUUUGUGCUUGAAUUUAAUCUGCACAUGUGUUGUGAUCAAAGGGAGGAAAUUUGCAUGUAGUUGUUGACAUUUUGCCAAGGAUGUGAAGUGGUUAGCGCAUAAAUUAGCCUCCCGUAUUAGCGCUUCUGAAGGCUUCCUUAUAUUGGCACUGCACGUUAAAGUGUGAUGUUCUCAGGGAUCCGGCUCCUGAUAUACGUAUUUAUGUGUGUGUGUGUGUGUGUGUGUGUGUAUACACAGUAGAUGCAUGUAUAUUUAUAUAUAGGUAUAUAUGAAUAUGUGUAUAUACAUGUAUACAAUCAAAUAAGGAUUUUGAUUUCACAAAGAGUAUUGUGUGGUGAUUAUACCCUAUCAUUAGUAAGUGGGGAAUCCUGGAUGUGAAAUAUAGCCCCUGCUGUUAGGUAGUAGAAAAUGAAAAAUGUGCGAUUCUUCCGUGUUAUAACGAAAACACCGGGAUGAUCAGCUGUGCCAGUCCUGUCAGGUGUGUCUGGCAUAUGCCUUCGACUGAAACUGCCUGAAACUGUGCCUCCGCCCACUGGUCUUGGUGUCUGGGCCCUCAGCAGUCCUAAGAGACGGGGGACCUGGAUGUUCCGACGCUGUGCGCUUUCUUCUCAGGAGCAAUUGGACAUAAGCCAGGGGACACCCCGGAAGGGACGCCGGCCCGUCAUGGGGCGGGGGACACCCCGGAAGGGAUGCCAGUCCGUUGCUGGGUGGGGGACACCCUGGAAAGGGACGCCGGCCCGUCGCUGGGUACAUCAUGAGGAAUAAACAUCCCCUCUGUAAUUUCCCAGUGACUAUCUCUGAAUGCAUAGAAUGUGUCUCCUGGCUGGCCGAUUUGAAUGACGGGCUCUUUAAAAUCCAUCGCCGACUGAGAGUCCAGCGAACAGCAGCAGAUAUGUAAACAGCACUCUCUAAAACACUCGUUAAAAGAUGAGAAUGCUGUCACCUUGGAGAUGAAGAACGUCAACCAAGUUGUCAGAUGUGCCAUGACACGCCACACAGAUCCGGCACAUUCUGCUGGGUUGGUUCCAUCCAUGCAAGCCAGGUCUUAUUCACCUGUAACAAAAAGACACAUUCUUUAAUAACAAACAAACAAACAAAUAAUAAUAAUAACAACAACAAUAAUGAAGAAGAAGAAGAAUUCACAUAUAAUUUAAGCGAUAUAAAUUAUGGGGAUGAAUUCCAAACCACUAUGUAAAGUUACACCUUGACCUAAUCAACCUUAUAUAGCUAAUUAUUAUUUUUUUAUUUCAUUACGAUAAAAAUCAAAUACGUCUUUAAAAGAUUCAUAUUAGAAAAUGCAUGUG